rnacentral:tRNA from 1 species
GUAGGUGAUGUAGUGGUUAGCACUGUUAACUUUCAAUGAGUAGGUCCUGGGUUCAAAUCCUGGACUUACC